GUAUGGCAGCUGUCCCAGGCCUGGCCCCAUUUCCUUCCCUCCCCACUCCUCCUUUCUCGUGGUGGCUUUCUCGCUCUUUUUCUUGGUGUGGGGCUGGGGCCUCUCGGGACUUAUCAGGUGCACCCAUUCACUGGGCUUCACUGUAUGAGAUGGGGCUCAGCUGGAGGCAGCAAGUGUCGGGGGAAGAAAGGGCUGAUUGAAUUUGCUUUGGGACCAGCUCCAAGUCCUGCAAGGCUUGCAAAUGUUUAGGGGGAGAUUUCCAUAUCACUCUAAAGUUGCUUGUCUUUCUCCCAAAGGGAAAGGCUGCUGCCAAAAGUGGAGGACUUAAAGCUGGAGGCCGCCCCAAAGACGGGGAAAUGAAGAAAACGCCGUUUCUGGAGCUCCCUGAGGGAAGCAUGAGGAAUUUCACUGCCUUCCAGCAAUUAAAUUGCAUUCAAGAAUUCUACAGUAGCCUUGGUGGUCUGCAACGACAUUUCAGGGAUUAGAUGCUCUAUCUCCUGUCUGCAGACACAUGAGCAGAACCCAGGAUGGAAGAAUGUAAUCACCAGCGUGACUCCAGUGAUGGAGAUGAACUAGAUGUGGAGACUGGGGAGCAGCAGAGUCAACUCAGUUAUCAUCUUGGCGGCCGGGCUGCCGUCCAGCUCACAGAAGCCACCUGAUCCGGAAAAGAUUUCCAAAGCCUGCUGGAGUAAGUUUGGCAGCUGUUUCCAUACAGGCAGAGGCCAGUGUCAUCUCCAGCACCUGGGGGACAUAAGAGAAAGAGCCAGUGGCCUCCAAGACAAUCUCAGGUGAAUACGCUUGACCCAGACGAGGGAAGGAUCACACAAACUCUCCGUUGAUGUAUGUGGCAGUUAAUAAAUCAUUUUCAAGAAGC
rnacentral:lncRNA from 10 species